rnacentral:rRNA from 1 species
GAUGAACGCUGGCGGCGUGCCUAAUACAUGCAAGUCGAGCGAACGGACGAGAAGCUUGCUUCUCUGAUGUUAGCGGCGGACGGGUGAGUAACACGUGGAUAACCUACCUAUAAUACUGGGAUAAUUUCGGGAAACCGGAGCUAAUACCGUAUAAUAUUUUGAACCGCAUGGUUCAAAAGUGAAAGACGGUCUUGCUGUCACUUAUAGAUGGAUCCGCGCUGCAUUAGCUAGUUGGUAAGGUAACGGCUUACCAAGGCAACGAUGCAUAGCCGCCCUGAGAGGGUGAUAGGCCACACUGGAACUGAGACACGGUCCAGACUCCUACGGGAGGCAGCAGUCGGGAAUCUUCCGCAAUGGGCGAAAGCCUGAUGGAGCAAAGCCGAGUGAGUGAUGAAGGUCUUCGGAUCGUAAAACUGUGUUAUUAGGGAAGAACAUAUGUGUAAGUAACUGUGCACAUCUUGACGGUACCUAAUCAGAAAGCCACGGCUAACUACGUG